GAUAUUGUGACGUCACAGAUGAAGGUUGUUCUGCUCUGACUUCAGCUCUGAGAUCAAACCCCUCACACCUGAGAGAACUGAGUCUGUCUGAGAAUAAAAUAAGAGAUUCAGGAGUGAAGCGUCUCUGUGCUGUACUGGAGGAUCCUCGCUGUAAACUGGAGAUACUGUGGUUGAGAGAUUGUGGCGUCACAGAUGAAGGUUGUUCUGCUCUGACUUCAGCUCUGAGAUCAAACCCCUCACACCUGAGAGAACUGAAUCUGUCUGAGAAUAAUCUACGACUAUCAGAAGUGAAGUUACUCUCUGAUCUGAAAGAUGAUCCACGUUAUAAACUGGAGACAUUAGACUACUGACUCUCAGUAUUUAGACGUCAGUUCAGUUUCCUCAGGAUCAGCUGAUGGUGAAUAAGAGCCGCUACAGGAAUCAGUGAUGUGAAGUUAAAUGAAUGCAUGGAAGUGUAAUGUGUGGAGCAGUGUUGAUGAACAGAAGAAACAAGCUUCAAGGAAACUAAACAAAUUCAGCAAAAGAUGUUUUUAUCCAAAGGACAUUAAGAAAAUAGUUGAUAUGUUUAUACAGCACUGAAAACCAAGAAAAUCAAUGUGAUAUUUUCAGUGAUGGGCUUAUAUCCUGAGCUGUCCAGAUUUAAUAUAGAUCAUCAUAACUGUGUAUCCUGAAAUUCAGAAAUAGAAAACUUAAUCACUUGUACAUUUUCUUAUAUUUUAAUCCAGUCUUACAUUUGAGUGUGUAACCUUUGUAUAUAUGUGUUUAUUUUUAUUAAAAUGUUUGUCAUCUGGAGAAGAGGAGCUUCCACUUGAUAUCAUCAUGAGAAAUGUGUGUCCUGCUGUAUCUUGAUUAAAAUACACUUCAAAACUCUUAUUUUGAAAUGAGCUUCAGUGAUUUAGAGCUUCACACAUAAAUAUUUUACUUUUAAUUAUUUGUAUUUUCAUUUGUUUGCAUGGUCUUAAAACCUUAAAACAGUCUUAAAACAUAUGUAAAAGUACCUAUUCAAAUAAAAUGAGAAUCAAAGCACAAUAUCAAUUAGAAAUGAAAUACAGAAUAUAGACUUAAUAUUCACCAAAAUAAAUGAAACGCCGGCACAGGUUUAUCAUCUGAAGAGAUUUGGAGUUCUCUGAGGAUGAAAUAGCUUGGAUAUAUUUCUGGAUUUCUGUUUCAAAAGAAAUGAAUAAUAGAUGUUGAUUGAUUGAUCAGUUUUGGUGAUUAAUCAGCAUUGAUAGUCGAUCGCUAACUAUCGGCUAUCGGCUAAAAUCCAUGCUGAUAAUCAAGAGCGUAAAGGCCUAAAUCCAUGAUGCACAUAGACACCAAUCACAGAUUGAUAAGGUAAGUUUAUAUGUUGUUGUUACACAUAACAUAUUAAUGAUCCAUUGACCAUUUUAACAAUGUCCUUACUACAUUUCUGUGUCUUCGCCGCUGGAGAACCCUUGCUGUCUGUGGAAGCUCUGAGAGAUCAUGGAUUACAUCAAAACAUUAUCAUAACUUUUGUUCUCAAAGGGAUUGUGUUCCUUUAAAGGGAAACUUCAGCCAUAAAUGAAAUUUAUCAUAAUUUACUCAUCCCCAUGUCCUUCCAAAUCUUUUUCAUUCCUUAAUGAAUCCAGAAAAAAUGAUCAGAGAUUCCAAGAAAAUAUGAAGCAGCACAACCAUUUCAACACUGAUAUUAAGAGAAUCAGAUCAGUAUAUGAGAAUGAUUGCUGAAGAUCAUGUGACACUGAAGACUGGAGUAAUGACUGGAGAAAAUUCAGUUUUUCUGUGUUUGAAGUGUUUUCCUGCAUUUGUUUGUGAGGUAUCUUGUCCUGUGUGUUCUGCCAUGCAUUCAGAAGACUUUAUUGAAGCACAUGCAAGUACCUGUGGGGAAAAGUUAUUAUUUUUAUUUUAUGCUUUGUGUUUUCAUGAAAUUAUUGGUUUAACCUACAGUCCUUACCAUUAGUUGUUUGUGUGUGGUAGUCAUUUUUAUUUAGCUAAAUUGAUUUUCUUUCAGAGCUGACGAUAGACCAAACCAAGAUUUCAUUGUAACGGGACAAAAGCAAGACAAGCACAAGAGAUGCAAUUAAGUUUAAUUUAUAGGGACUUUUUUAAUUAAUUUUUGUUUAAGUAAUAUUAGAUUAUUUGAGGGAGGGAGCACUGGGAAAAAUUGGAAGUAUUCAAUUACAGACUUUCAGAAUGACAAUUUCAGGAAGGUUUAUUAGCAUUACAGCUGGGUAAAAAAACAUUGAUGUCUCAAUUUUAAUCGAACCAAUCUCAUCUUUACAAACUGAUUGGUAAAUCCCAAGGAUGGAUCGUCUCUUUACAGCUGAUGAAUGAACAGAACAUUAUAGCACAUCUCUCAUCCAUUAAACCACUUUGUGCUUCGUUACUUUGAAUUCUGUCCAUCUUAUCUUGAAAUUUAAACAAUAAAUAUUGCCGUAUUUCUUUAGAUUGAGACUGCAGACACUACAGCCUUGCUUGAGCUUUCUGAAAGAAUCGUAGCAUGUGGUACACAGGAUCCUAACAUGUGAUGAAAGGAAGACAUUGUCAGAAGAAGGGAGCAGCAGUAAGGAGAGCAGGGUUGAAGAUGACAGUGAACAGGUGAUAAAACAAACUGCACUAAAGGAGAUGCAGAACAAGACAAGAUCACCGUCAGCAGUUUCAUGCAGUGGAUUACUGGUCAGGGACAUGUCUCCAUUACUUCUGCACAUUUGAUCCUGACUGUCAGCUUCGAUAUGGUCAGCAUAGUUUCUGCUUGCCUCUAGUAAAUGCAUGUUCCUGUAC